CCGGGCCGGGCUGCGGCUCCGUGGCUCUGCGCGACUGCGCAUGCUCGCCGGCGGGGAGGGCUGCGAGGUCCGCGCGGGAGGCGCGGCGCGUCGGCGAGUUUAGGACGGUUAUCCGGCUGGUUGACCUCGGCACCGGGGGAUGCCUGACCACUUGAGAUAGUACUGGAAACGCGUGGUGGGGGGCUCGAACUCCCAGACGUAUCGCCCAGCUCUUUGAACACUGGAGGUUGUCUUUUAAAAGUAAAUAAAGUCAGUCGGGGUCAGACUCCAGCUCACUGGAGACUGCGGUGUCGCUGCGGGGGCGCCCCGCCCGUGGGCCCAGCGAAGGCCGGGGACCACCCAGCGGCGAGCCACGAAACGGCACGCUGCCGUUACAAGCAGCGCGUGAGCCCGGGGCCACUAACCAGGCGACGGUUAGCGGGCCCCUGUGGCCGCGAGGACGCGCAGGUGUGUGCGGGGCAGCGGCGGCACACGCCGGGGGAGUAGUCUGCACACAGUGCAGGCGUGCUCAGGCGUUUGGCCGAGUCGGUCCAGAAGACAGAACCGCCCGCUCUUGGGAAUUGAGCCAAGGAAUUCCUCAGCGGCCCGUCCGCCCCCACUCCCAGCCCUGCCUGGACUUUGACCUGUGGACGAGAGGAGAGAGGUGGAGCGAGCUGGCAGCACCCAUGUCCUGAGGUGGCCAGAGGCGAAGACAACAACCCAUGUGGAGGCCAGCCGGAGGUGCGGCUGCCGGCGGGGCGUCCGGGCUUCACGGCUUCUGCCAGAGACCCUCCGUCUCACAGAGGGGGCCGUGGAGUCUUGGGACAGUCUCAAGGCUCCAGGAAGGCUUCCCUGUGGUGGCCUAAGUUCCUGUGUGUCCCCAGUGAGGGGGCUCAGCUGGCCACUGGCGAGAGGCCUUUUCAAAGUGGAAAGUUUUUCUAAUUGAGAUAAAAUUCACAUAACAUAAAAUCCACUAUUUUAGCCAUUUUGAAGUGCACACUUUUUUAAGAUAUUUAAAAUGUACAACCAUCUCCGCUAGGUAAUUCCAGAACAUCCCAUCACCCCAAAGGAAACCCAGUCCCCAUCAUCAGUCACUCCCUGUCCCCUCCCCCAGCCCCCGGCCCCCAUGAGCGAGCCCCUUCCUGUCCGUGGAAGAGCCUGUUCUGGAAGUUUCACACAUGUGGAUUCACACUCCGUGUGGCGUCUCAUGACGGGUUCCCUCCCUGAGCGUCGGUCGUGUGUUCGGGGUCCGUCCGUGGGGCGGCGGGUGUGGGCGCCUCGCUCCUGCUCCGCUCGUGGCCAAGUAAUGUUCCCAUGCGUGGUGGACAGUGUGUUUACCUGUUCAUAUAUUGAUGGAAUUUGGUUGUUUUGAACUUUUGCCUUUGUAAUGCUGUACAAGUGUUUGUAUGGGCAUACAUUUUCAUUUUUUAAAUUAAAAAAAAAUUUUUUUUUCUUUAA